UAAUUUACCACAUUGUAAGCGUAGAUGCGAGCCGCGAUGGUAAGCGGAGAUGCGAGCCAUGAGCGACGGCCGUCAGGGAGAAAUGCGAGCCGCGAGCGAUGGUCGUCAGGGAGAGAUGCGAGCCAUGAGCGACGGCCAUGAGAGAGAGACUCGAGCCCGAGCCGCGAGGGAUGGAAAGAAGACUAGAGGACUGAGGACAACCAAGUUGCUGACGGUGCGGAGAGCCGACGAACUGGAGAGCGACGGGCGACGAUUGCGUGGAGAGUGACGGCCGACGAUUGCGUGGAGAGCGACGGCCGACGCCAACGAUUGUGUGGAGAGAGAGACUAGAGAGCGACACUGAGGUGAGGAUGAGUUGGAGUUGCUAUGUCGCGCAUCUGCAACGUAGUGAAGAGCGACGACCCGAGUUAGCCGGGAUGGUUAAUCAAUCGAUGCCGGAAGGAGAGUGGAGGUGGAUCGGCCGGAAGUGGUGGAGCUCAGUGCUCAGAGAAGAGGCACAGGCAUUGUGUGUGAACUGUGAUAUGAGGCGGCGUGAAAUGGAGACUAGCGUGUGAAUUCUACCAAGUGACAUGGCUUUUAGAUUUAGGGCAAAUAAGGGUACAUUUCAAAACGACGUAGUUUAAGUGAUUUCGGUUCGGUUCGGUUUAAUCGAAAUUUUUGAAUCUAAAACCGAACCGAACCGAAAUUAUCGAUUUUUUAAAAAAUUAAAACCG
rnacentral:lncRNA from 1 species